CCAACUGCGCUGUCGAAGAGACAUGCUGAUGGUUCAUUGCCAAUUGAAGAUUUCAUCAUUUCAACAUAGUACUUGAAAAUCAGAGUGGGAAGAAGGUACAAAUGGGAUCGGAGACUGAUCAGUGGGCAAUCAUGAUGAGCCUGAUGUUACAUACCAAUGCAAAGCAACUGAUUAAAGCACAAAAUUACCAAGAUGCAAUGGAAGUGCUCAGCAUGGAGGAGGAGGCUUUCUCUCUGCGAUCCAUCGGUUAUUAAGCUGGUCGAUAAUCCUUCUAUACUGCAAAUCGAUAUGGUUUGGUGUUAUUUCAUGCUUAGAGACAUAAACUGGCUCUCAGUGGCAGGAAUUCGCCUUGAGAAAGCCAGAGAGGGUCUUGAACGAGCUCAUGGAAAGGAUUCU